GGACUGCUGAGGAGUUCAAUACUAGGACGAAACGACCGUCCAGUAU
rnacentral:hammerhead_ribozyme from 1 species